AUGCACUUUAUGUCCAGAGAUCCUAAACAAAAUAUUUACGAGUAUAUGUUUCUCAUAAGGAGAAGCUAGCACACAAAUACCAAACAAAAAUCCAAGAUAAAAUAUUUCAAGAAAUCAAUUACCAAAAAGCAGAAAAUUCAGGCUGCUCCGCUCAACGUGUUUUCCAGAGCCAUGCACAAGCUACAGAAGAAAAAUAGAAGAAAAAAAGUGGAAAAUAUAGAAAAAUAGUGCAGAAAAAAAACACUUAAAUUUACAUUAUUUCCAGUCCACAACACUGACGUUGCCCCUUUGAAAUUGAGUCAGCCAGGUGAAAGUUUCAGCCAUAUUCCUCAUAUUUAUUAGCUUAAAGGAGCAGCUGGCGAAACUAAAGCUAUAAUUGUUUCAAAUGGAAAUCUAUUUUCAUGGACCGCUGGCCCGACAGAGAGAGAAUGGUGUCAAGUGCAGCAGGCAGCCGGGUAAAAACUAAAGUGGUCCAGACCACGCCUCCGUGAGCAGUCAACAGUUAAAAAGGGACAACGCCAGGAUAACAACAUUUGUAUGCAAAUGGCGAGAGCCGGAGUUACUUUGCCAAUGUCAAACGGAGAACGAAGAAUAUGUACGUGCCCAUGGCUCGGCAAAUGAACUUGUUUGGUAGCUAAUGAGAUAAGCAUGCAAAUGCCAGUGGCAGGACGAAAAAAAAGGGUAAGAAAAAUAGAAGCCCAGAAUAAAGUCAAGUUCUGUCAGUGGCAGCGGUAGGACGAGUCAAUUAACUGGCAUUUCCGCGGCUACUUGUUGGGCGACACAAGAAAAGUAAAAAGGGCCAGCCAGGAAAGGAAAAGGAUAUGUGUGCUACCAACACAAUGGAGCUAACAAUUUUGAAGCUCUUUGUUAUUUUGGGCAAAUCUGGCAGAACACAGAGAAAUAAGCUCGAAAAAAAAGAAAUUGGCAGAAUAAAAUGCAUGAGAAUUUUAUAUGCAAUCCAUUUUAAAUGGCAGGAAGUGCAAGAAAUGCUCAAAUAAUUGCAGCAACGAAUGCCCAUUUUUGUAACAAAAGAACUCAAGGACGAGUCCUUUUUUGCGAAUCCUUUCCGUAUGCGAAUGUCUGCGUGCAAAUUGAAUGUGCAAAUAUUAACAUUCAAGACGAUGUGCCAGGCACACUUGUGGCUUUUUUGCCAUCAUGUCCUUGCUGCCACUCAAUCAGCAGGACUCGUGCGCCUGAACAGGACCAAGACUGAUGCGAACAGGACAACAGCUGUUGACAAGGACGAGUCCUAGAGCAUGGAGCAUGGCACAUGUGUGUAUUAGUUGUGCCUGGUUCUGCUUUCUGGGCAAAACUUUAAUUAAAUUGUAUAUGUUUUUUGGCCUGGACAAAGGCAAAUUCCAUUUACCUUUCAUAUUUCUUGUGACCCCUUCAGGGGUGUGCAUAAAUUUAUUAAAGUGAUUUUCUCUCGCAAAAUAAAG